rnacentral:rRNA from 1 species
AUGAUGCUCGCGUACAUGGACCGCGCCGCCGCCGGCGCCGCCACGGAGCGGGACGCGCUCGAGCUGACCGUGGUGGCCGCCGACGCGGCGGAGUGCGCGGCGGCGAGGGACUUCGGCGGCCUCGUGAGCGCCCGCCCCGCGGCCGUCGUCCGGCCGGCGAGCGCGGACGACGUGGCCAGCGCCAUCCGCGCGGCCGCGCGCACCACGCUCCUCACCGUGGCCGCCCGCGGCAACGGCCACUCGGUCGCCGGGCAGGCCAUGUCCGAGGGCGGGCUUGUCCUCGACAUGCGCGCGGGCGCGGCCUCCCGGCGCCAGCAGAUGAAGCUCGUCUCGUCCGGCGGUGGGGCGGCCUUCGCCGACGUCCCCGGCGGCGCGCUCUGGGAGGAGGUCCUCCACUGGGCCGUCUCGAACCACGGCCUCGCCCCCGCCUCCUGGACGGACUACCUCCGGCUCACCGUCGGCGGCACGCUCUCCAACGGCGGCGUGAGCGGGCAGUCCUUCCGCUACGGCCCGCAGGUGUCCAACGUGGCGGAGCUCGAGGUGGUGACCGGGGAAGGCGAGUGCCGCGUCUGCUCCCCCUCCGCCCACCCCGACCUCUUCUUCGCCGUCCUCGGCGGCCUCGGCCAGUUCGGCGUCAUCACCCGCGCCCGCAUCCCGCUCUCCCCGGCGCCACAAACGGUGAAGUGGGCGCGCGUGGUGUACGCGAGCUUCGCGGAGUACGCGGCGGACGCGGAGUGGCUGGUGACGCGGCCGGCCGAGUCGGCGUUCGACUACGUGGAGGGCUUCGCGUUCGUGCGCAGCGACGACCCGGUGAAUGGCUGGCCGUCGGUGCCCAUCCCCGCCGGCGCGCGCUUCGACCCGUCGCUGCUCCCCGCCGGCGAGCCCGGCCCGCUGCUCUACUGCCUGGAGGUGGCCCUGUACCAGCACCACCACCAGCAGCCCGACGCCGUGGACGAGAGGAUGGGGGAGAUGAUGCGGCGGCUCAAGUACGUGCGGGGCCUGGAGUACGCGGCGGACGUCGGGUACGUGGAGUUCCUGUCGCGCGUGAACCGGGUGGAGGAGGAGGCGCGCCGGAGCGGCAGCUGGGCCGCGCCGCACCCGUGGCUCAACCUCUUCGUCUCCGCGCGCGACAUCGCCGACUUCGACCGCGCCGUGCUCAAAGGCAUGCUCGCCGACGGCGUCGACGGGCCCAUGCUCAUCUACCCCAUGCUCAAGAGCAAGUGGGACCCGAACACGUCGGUGGCGCUGCCGGAGGGCGAGGUGUUCUACCUGGUGGCGCUGCUGCGGUUCUGCCCGGGCGGCCGCGGCCGCGGCGCGGCGGUGGAGGAGCUGGUGGCGCAGAACGGCGCCAUCGUCGACGCCUGCCGGAGCAGCGGCUACGACUUCAAGACCUACUUCCCGCACUACCGCACGGAGGCGGACUGGGCGCGCCACUUCGGGUCCAAGUGGGCCCGCUUCGUCGACCGCAAGGCCCGCUACGACCCGCUGGCGAUCCUCGCCCCGGGCCAGAAGAUCUUCGCCAGGACCCCCUCCUCCCGAACCGACCGAUCAUAG